CAGAGAGUAGUUUAUUUGAGAAUAUCAGCUUUGGGAGCUGGAGAAGGAGGUUUAAAUCCUCUCUUUCUGA
rnacentral:tRNA from 1 species